ACAAGCGGUGGAGUAUGUGGUUUAAUUCGAUGCAACGCGAAGAACCUUACCUGGUCUUGACAUCCCGGAGACCCUUAGGAAACUAGGGGGUGGCGUUCCAUCUGGAAGAAUCUGGAGACAGGUGCUGCAUGGCUGUCGUCAGCUCGUGUCGUGAGAUGUUGGGUUAAGUCCCGCAACGAGCGCAACCCUUGCCUUUAGUUGCCAGCAGUUCGGCUGGGCACUCUAAAGGGACUGCCGGUGUUAAACCGGAGGAAGGUGGGGAUGACGUCAAGUCCUCAUGGCCUUUAUGACCAGGGCUACACACGUACUACAAUGGCCGAUACAAAGGGCAGCGACACUGCGAGGUGAAGCCAAUCCCGUAAAAUCGGUCUCAGUCCGGAUUGGAGUCUGCAACUCGACUCCAUGAAGUUGGAAUCGCUAGUAAUCGUGGAUCAGCAUGCCACGGUGAAUACGUUCCCGGGCCUU
rnacentral:rRNA from 1 species